AGCGAACGCUGGCGGCGUGCUUAACACAUGCAAGUCGAACGGAAAGGCCCAGCUUGCUGGGUACUCGAGUGGCGAACGGGUGAGUAACACGUGGGUGAUCUGCCCUGCACUCUGGGAUAAGCCUGGGAAACUGGGUCUAAUACCGGAUAUGACCAACUGUCGCAUGGUGGUUGGUGGAAAGCUUUUGCGGUGUGGGAUGGGCCCGCGGCCUAUCAGCUUGUUGGUGGGGUAAUGGCCUACCAAGGCGACGACGGGUAGCCGACCUGAGAGGGUGAUCGGCCACACUGGGACUGAGACACGGCCCAGACUCCUACGGGAGGCAGCAGUGGGGAAUAUUGCACAAUGGGCGCAAGCCUGAUGCAGCGACGCCGCGUGAGGGAUGACGGCCUUCGGGUUGUAAACCUCUUUCACCAGGGACGAAGCGUGAGUGACGGUACCUGGAGAAGAAGCACCGGCCAACUACGUG
rnacentral:rRNA from 1 species